UCCCACCUAGAUUACAGUUCUCGUUAAAAGACAGGUCAUCGCCAGAAUACAAAAUCUCGAGGUCCUUCCUCUUCUGCUUGCUUCCGGUUCCACAUCCGAUCGAAAGCCGUAGAAAUCUCACCUUCUGACCAUGGGCUGCUCCUCCUCACUUCCCGAUAGGAGUUCUGGACGUUUGGGUGGAUUGAACACUGAGAACUCUGGAGCUGCUGACUCAAAAAACUUACGGGUGAAGUUGGUGCUGUUGGGAGAUUCAGGUGUUGGUAAAAGCUGCAUCGUUCUUCGCUUUGUCCGUGGGCAGUUUGACCCAACAUCCAAGGUAACUGUUGGUGCAUCAUUCUUGUCGCAAACAAUAGCUUUGCAAGAUUCUACAACUGUUAAGUUUGAAAUAUGGGAUACUGCUGGCCAGGAGAGGUACGCUGCUUUGGCGCCUCUUUACUAUCGGGGAGCAGCUGUGGCAGUUAUUGUGUAUGAUAUAACAAGCCCUGAGUCAUUUAAUAAAGCACAGUACUGGGUUAAGGAACUACAGAAACAUGGUAGCCCUGAUAUCGUCAUGGCUUUGGUGGGUAACAAGGCUGAUCUUCAGGAAAAUCGGAAAGUAACUGUCCAAGAUGCAGUAGAGUAUGCAGAGAAGAAUGGAAUGUUUUUUAUAGAGACAUCUGCAAAGACAGCUGAUAAUAUUAAUCAACUGUUUGAGGAAAUUGCGACUACCAGAGAUAAACUCCUGAGUCGAUGGUUCUAAGAUGGGGAGGAAGAUUACAAAAGACAUGCUUUACCCAUGUAUGAGCAAAGGUGGUUGUAGAGGUGGAUGCAACAUUGUUAUAGAGCCACUAAAAGAAGAAAGAAAACGUGCAUAUUCCUCCCUUGAUAGUGAAACACUGGUCUGAUCACCACUAGCAUUAGACAAAGUAAGAGUAGUGGAUCUAUCAUUUGAAGCAUCAUCCUUAACUAUAAGAGCUUGGUUUGUCCUUGGGAGUUUUCCAUGAAGAGUCCAGUAAAAGUCUACCAUAUAAUUUGCUAGGCCACAAUGAGUACACAUAUGCUUUCCUUUAUCACCAUGACAACAUCUACCUCUCCUUGGGAAUCCACCACCCCUCUCACCAUGGGGAGGACCACGUCCAACGUGACCACCAUGGUCUACAUGAAAGCCUAAAUAACUGGAUGAAGAGGCUAGUGCCAUUUUAUUAGAUUCAUUAAGUCGAGAGUUGUCAAAUUCAUUUGCUAGAGAGACUCUGAAGUCUUGCAUAGACAUUUGCCAUUGAAGGAAUGAGAACUCUUAAAAUUUGAUCCUUUGUCGAUUGAUAUUCUUUGGGCCAUCCAUAGCAAGUUUUACUAGCUUCAUACAUUCUCAUUGCUUCUUCAUAAGGGAUACAUUUGAGGUAAUGGGAUGAUAUAUGGCCAGUUCUUUCCACAUUCCAAUCAGCUUUGCAAAAUAUUUACUAAGGGGCUCCCCCCCCCCCACAAUUUGAAAAGAGAA